rnacentral:misc_RNA from 1 species
GAUGAAGAACGUAGCGAAAUGCGAUAAGUAAUGUGAAUUGCAGAAUUCAGUGAAUCAUCGAAUCUUUGAACGCACAUUGCGCCCGCCAGUAUUCUGGCGGGCAUGUCUGUUCGAGCGUCAUUUCAACCAUCAAGCCCCCGGCUUGUGUUGGGGACCUGCGGCUGCCGCAGGCCCUGAAAAGCAGUGGCGGGCUCGCUGUCACACCGAGCGUAGUAGCAUACAUCUCGCUCUGGGCGUGCUGCGGGUUCCGGCCGUUAAACCACCUUCAUAACCCAAGGUUGACCUCGGAUCAGGUAGGAAGACCCGCUGAACUUAAGCAUAUCAAUAAGCGGAGGA